rnacentral:rRNA from 1 species
UCAGACGAGAAGAGCGAGGCUGCUGCUGCGGUUGCGGCACCGCCAUUGUUGAGGGGAAUGAAGCUUUGCAAGAAGGGGUGUCCCGGGUGCAGGCUGGAUGAGAUCAACAAGACCAAGACCGGCAUCCCCUACCUCAACUUCUGCUACAUCUGGAUCGUCUGCCUCUGCUCUACACUACCAAUUCAUUCAUUGUUCCCCUAUCUAUACUUUAUGAUUAGAGACUUGAAAGUCGCAAAGCAAGAACAAGAUAUCGGGUUCUAUGCUGGUUUUGUCGGGGCUACUUACUUCCUUGCAAGAACUAUUAGUGCUGUGCCAUGGGGCAUGUUUGCUGACAAAUAUGGGAGGAAGCCUUGCAUUGUGAUCAGUAUCCUCUCAGUGAUCAUAUUUAACACCCUGUUCGGCCUUAGCACGACUUACUGGAUGGCAAUUGUAACUAGGGGGCUACUUGGGUUACUUUGUGGUAUACUAGGACCAAUCAAGGCCUAUGCUUCGGAAGUCUGCAGGAUAGAGCACCAAACUCUUGGAAUUUCUCUGGUUACAUCUUCGCGAGCAAUAGCUUUUGUUAUUGGACCAGCCAUCGGAGGAUUUCUUUCCGAGCCUGCAAAGAAGUAUCCCAAUAUUUUUUCGGAGAAAUCCAUAUUUGGAAGGUUUCCAUACUUCCUCCCUUGCUUCCUUAUAUCAGUUCUAGCAGCAGGAGCAUGUGUUGCGUGCAUUUGGCUUCCGGAAACUUUGCACAUGCACCAUGAUGACAAUGUAGAAGCCAUUGAUACAAUGGAGGCACAAGUUGUUGAUCCAAACUUAGUAAAUGUGAAAGGUAUACAAUCUAGAUCAGGGAGAUUCACAUCUACAAUGAGCCUGUUAAAGAACUGGCAAUUGAUGUCAGCAAUUACCCUCUACUGUGUGUUUUCUCUCUAUGAUACCGCUUAUAUCGAGAUAUUUUCACUGUGGGCUGUGAGCAGCAGAAAAUACCGGGGACUAAAUUUUACAUCUGAGGAUGUUGGUACUGUGCUAGCUAUCUCGGGUAUUGGUAUUUUUGUAUAUCAACUCGUGAUUUAUCCAUUCCUUGCCAAGUAUGCUGGGUUAAUCAAGCCAUUCCGUUCUGCAGCGGUAUUAUCUAUACUACUUGUUGCAACAUAUCCAUUCAUAGCCAACCUAUAUGGUGUGGAGCUCAAAGUACUCAUCAAUAUAGCUUCGCUUCUAAAAAAUAUGUUUGCAGCAACGAUUACGACUGCGUGCAAUAUUCUGCAGAACACUGUGGUGAGGCAAGAACAAAGGGGUGUUGCAAAUGGUAUCAGUGUUACUUUGAUGUCAAUCUUCAAAGCAGUAGGUCCAGCAGCAGCAGGAGUUCUGUUUUCAUGGGCUCAGAAGAACACAACGGGGUUGUUCUUACCAGGUGACCAGAUCCUUUUCAUCUUCUUGAAUAUGGUGGCAAUAAUCGGACUCUUGAUGACGUUCAAGCCAUUUUUUUCACUGCCGAGUGCGACAAAAUAA